GCCAGACAGGAAUCGAACCCAUCACCUUCCGCUUACAAGGCGAAACCCGUAACCUCACGGCCACGGAAGCUCGGAAUUCAACUUAGUGUAUCUGAAUUUCACUAAAUUUAAAGUCAACUGAUUCUUACUAAAUUAAGAAGAAGAAGCACCCCCCAAAAUGCGCCCCGUUCCGCCAUCGCUUUUUUGCCCGUUAUCGUGGUCAAAAUGUGCCCAGAAGCAUGCCACAGACGGGCGUAACAGCUCGGCCAAAAUGCGUAACGCCCGCCUAAAUGUUGCAUUCUGGCACG